GGCCCUGGAGCACAGCACUGUACACCUGGGCACUCAAGACUGCAGCUGCAGGCAGAUUUGUGAGCAGCUUCCUCAUCAAAGCUCCAGAUCUGGGUCCCCUGGUCCUGGGGUUAGGAGGGAAGGGGCAGAUGUCGGCGGGAGGAGGACAGGGAGAGCUGGGAAGCCACGGUGCUGAGGGGGAUGGGUCUACUCAGUGGCCAGCUGUGACCCCAGCCUCCCCUCUGCUUUGCAGGGGACCUAAGUCUCCAUUUACAGAACUCACUUUUUGCCUCUUGUGGGGGAAGUCCCCAGAUGUCAGCCUUCUCGUGGGAAUUAUAAGAAGUAUGAGCCCCAGGGCUCCUUUAGUCUCUCCCCAGCCAGAGUCCACAUAUUUUCCCCCAUGUUUUGUGGGUGAAAAGGCCCUUCAGAACCCUAAAUCCACCCGGUUUAUAUUUGUUGCUGGGCUGCGUCAUUCUAGUCAGAGUCUGGGAGGAUGCCACCAUACGUAGAGGAGGCCAUGAGGGUCUCACCUGUAACAUUCUGUAGAUGUGACUUGUUUAUUCUGUCUACUGUGAGUGCCUGACUCUGAGUAGAAUCAAGGCCGGGGAUGUCAUCUGCUUUGUUUAUGAAAUGAUGCCAAGCCCCAAGAAGAGCGAUGCACAAAUGAGGUGUUUUGAAUGUAUGUGUUGAAUGAGUGAACCCCAACCUUUGGAGAACCCCAGUGAGCCUCUCCAGAUGUCUGAGUGGGCCUGUGGCUCCUUUUUCAGCACCAAGGGACCCCUCUUCUGUCUGUGUCAAGGAGAAAGACCAGCCAGAAGGAAUCUCAGACAUCCUUUACCAGUGCCAUCGCAGACUUGGUUUCUAUGUGUUUUUCCAAACAGUGAGUGAUAUAGGCCAUUGAGGCAGAAUGCUGAGAGCUGCUUCAAGUGAGGGGGAAGAGAAAAGUAACAAACAUGAAUCACAGCACCCCCAGCAGAUUUUCCAGAGUUUUAGGCUCUAGGGACCCCUUUGUUUGCUGUGUCUUAGAUCAUUGAGUCCCUUCAAGAACCCUGUGAGGUUCGUCUUCUCACUACUCCCUGUUCCAGAGGAGCCAACCGAGGCCCCGAGAGGUGCAUCUUCAAGACAGAGCCAGUAGGGGACAGAGGCACCUCUGUGUCUUGGAGGGGGAUGGACACUCACCUUCUAACCAGUAGUUCCAAAAAGUGUGGCACAGUGAUAAAGUCCCAGGAGGGGCCCAAGCAGGUGGCAUAGGAGAGAUGGGUUUAGUUAGAAAGGCUGGAACCAGGGACUCCAACAGCUUUCCCCAGUGCCGGGCUGGAAAGUUAGCAUCCUGCAGAUCUCAUUUUCAUACUAGGGGGACAAGGAGGGACAUGGGAGUCAGUGGUAACACCAUGGACCACCAGAGGAUCGGGAUCUGGAACUCACACCAAGAAGCACCAACCCUUCAGGGACUUGUGCAUGUGGAGAACCUGGGUGCCCAUGGUGAAAAGCGUUCUAGGCUUUCAGAGUAACAUUGCAUGUGAGGAUGGAGAAUGAUAAAACGAUUCCUGCCUUCAAGGCAUCGUCCCGGUGUUUGUCAGCUGUGGGGCAACAGCACCCUCUGUGUCAGCAACCUGCAUGAAGAGCAUCAUCCCUCCAAGUCCUCAAGGCCUGGGGAGGCCUCAUCCCGUCCUCAUUUCAGCAACAGCACACAGGACAAUACGCUCUAGAAGAACUCUUUGACUUAAAGGUAUAUGAUUGUUUUUGUUCCUUUAACAUGAACGUGAGUCUGGAGAAACAGCUACGGCCAUCCCAGCCCUGGCCAAGGGGAAAAUGCCGGAAGACUCCAGGGUGGGAGGAAGCGCGUCCCAAGGCCCAGGAUCUGCGAGGCGACUCGGGGAAAACGCAGAAAAUAAAGCACGCGAAGAAGUUAACUCGGUGCCAUUGGGCAGAGGGUGAGAGCCCAGCAAACCAGAGAGAUCAGCUUGCCCACAUCAGUGGCGAGGAGUGCGGAGAGUGGGUGAGGCUGGGGCAGGAAGCAGGCCAGCCUGCCAGAGCCCAGGAACAGGUGAAGGGACCUGCUGAAGCUCACACCCGUGGACCACCCAGACUGCCUGCCGCUACAGGAUGCCCUCCGCAUCUCCCAGGACUUCUUUCUGGCAUCAGUGUGGACAUUGACCCCGCUGGACUGCAGUCACAGUGGACUCCCAAGGGCAGGAUCCACCUCUGAUGUUCAGUGAAGACUACCAGAAAAGUCUGCUAGAGCAGUACCAUCUGGGUCUGGAUCAAAAACGCAGAAAAUACGUGGUUGGAGAGCUCAUCUGGAAUUUUGCCGAUUUCAUGACUAACCAGUGUCAGCCCAAGACUACCCCGUCGGUCAUUCUGUUCCUGCCGUCCUGUGAGGAGCCCCAAGCCAACAAGGCCACACUGGUGUGUCUCAUGAAUAACUUUAUCCGGGAAUCUUCAUGGUGACCUGGAAGGCAGAUGGUACCCCCAUCACCCAGAGCGUGGAGAAGACCACGCCCUCCAAACAGAGCAACAGCAAGUACGUGGCCAGCAGCUACCUGAGCCUGACGCCCGAGCAGUGGAGGUCCCGCAGAAGCUACAGCUGCCAGGUUAUGCAUGAAGGGAGCACCGUGGAGAAGUCAGUGGCCCCUGCAGAAUGUUCAUAGGUUCCCAGCCCCCACCCCACCCACAGGGGCCUGGAGCUGCAGGAUCCCAGGGGAGGGGUCUCUCUCUGCAUCCCAAGCCAUUCAGCCCUUCUCCCUGUACCUAGUAAACCCUCAAUAAAUAUCUUUGUCAGCCAGAAA
rnacentral:sRNA from 1 species